CAAGUCGGACGGGAUUACUUUUGGUAGCAAUACCGAGAGUAAUUCAGUGGCGAACGGGUGCGUAACACGUGGGCAAUUUGCCUUAAAGUGUGGGAUAGCUCGGCGAAAGCCGAAUUAAUACCGCAUGUGGCUACUGGAGACAUCUUCGGGACGCUAAAGGUGGCGCAAGCUACCGCUUUUUGAGAAGCCCGCGGCCUAUCAGCUUGUUGGUGAGGUAACGGCUCACCAAGGCGUUGACGGGUAGCUGGUCUGAGAGGACGACCAGCCACACUGGGACUGAGACACGGCCCAGACACCUACGGGUGGCAGCAGUCGAGAAUUUUUGACAAUGGGGGAAACCCUGAUCGAGCGACGCCGCGUGGAGGAUGAAGGUCUUCGGGUUGUAAACUCCUGUCAUUUGGGAACAAGGCGUAUUUAUUAACUGUAAGUACGUUGAUAGUACCAGAAGAGGAAGAGACGGCUAACUCUGUGCCAGCAGCCGCGGUAAUACAGAGGUCUCAAGCGUUGUUCGGAUUCAUUGGGCGUAAAGGGUGUGUAGGUGGCGCGCUAAGUCGGGUGUGAAAUUUCGGAGCUUAACUCCGAAACUGCAUUCGAUACUGGCGUGCUUGAGGACUGGAGAGGAGACUGGAAUUUACGGUGUAGCAGUGAAAUGCGUAGAUAUCGUAAGGAAGACCAGUGGCGAAGGCGGGUCUCUGGACAGUUCCUGACACUGAGACACGAAGGCCAGGGGAGCAAACGGGAUUAGAUACCCCGGUAGUCCUGGCAGUAAACGGUGCACGUUUGGUGUGGGAGGAUUCGACCCCUUCUGCGCCGGAGCCAACGCGUUAAACGUGCCGCCUGGGGAGUACGGUCGCAAGAUUAAAACUCAAAGAAAUUGACGGGGGCCCGCACAAGCGGUGGA
rnacentral:rRNA from 1 species